CCAAACUUGGUCAUUUAGAGGAAGUAAAAGUCGUAACAAGGUCUCCGUAGGUGAACCUGCGGAGGGAUCAUCAUAGGAAAAUUUCCAACCUUGGGAAGAUAUGGCAGCAAUGUUUAGCAAUGUUGCUGUUGUAUUUUUCCAAGCAAACAAACAAAUGAUUGCAACUAUAGAAAGGAGAGAGAUGGAUUGGAUUGGAGAGAUGAGAUGAAACAAGUGUUUGCCUGAUACUAACAAACAUUGUGUGAUUUGGAGAAAUAAUAUACAACUUUCAACAACGGAUCUCUUGGCUCUCACAUCGAUGAAGAACGCAGC
rnacentral:misc_RNA from 1 species